GAUGAACGCUGGCGGCGUGCCUAAUACAUGCAAGUCGAGCGAACGGACGCUACUCUUGCUUCUCUGAUGUUAGCGGCGGACGGGUGAGUCACACGUGUAUACCCUCCCUAUCUGACUGAUAUAACUUCGGAAAACCGGCUCUAAUCCCGGAUGAUCUUUUGCACCGCAUUGUUCAAAAGUAAAUUACGGUCUUUCUGUCUCUUCUCGAUGGAUCCGCGCUGCAUUAGCUAGUUGUUACGUUAACGGCUUACCAAGGCAACGAUGCAUAGACGACCUGAGAGGGUGAUAGGCGACACGGGAACGGAGACAGGGUCCAGACGCCUACGGGAGGGAGCAGUAGGGAAUCUUCCGCAAUGGGCGAAAGACUGACGGAGAAAGGCCGCGUGAGUGAUGAAGGUGUUCGGAUCGUAAAAAUCUGUUAUUAGGGAAGAACAGAUGUGGAAGUAAAUGUGCACAGAUUGACGGUACCUAAUCAGAAAGCCACGGCUAACUACGUG
rnacentral:rRNA from 1 species